rnacentral:rRNA from 1 species
AGUAGUCAUAUGCUUGUCUCAAAUAUUAAGCCAUGCAUGUGUAAGUAUUAACUAUUUCAGACUGUGAAACUGCGAAUGGCUCAUUAAAUCAGUUAUAGUUUGUUUGAUGGUACGUGCUACUCGGAUAACCAUAGUAAUUCUAGAGCUAAUACGUGCAACAAACCCCGACUUCCGGAAGGGAUGCAUUUAUUAGAUAAAAGGCUGACGUGGGAUUUGCCCGCUACUCCGAUGAUUCAUGAUAACUCGACGGAUCGCACGGCCCUCGUGCCGGCGACGCAUCAUUCAAAUUUCUGCCCUAUCAACUUUUGAUGGUAGGAUAGGGGCCUACCAUGGUGGUGACGGGUGACGGAGAAUUAGGGUUUGAUUCCGGAGAGGGAGCCUGAGAAACGGCUACCACAUCCAAGGAAGGCAGCAAAAGCGCACAAAUUUCCCAAUCGACACGGGGAGGUAGUGACAAUAAAUAACAAUACCGGGCUCUUCGAGUCCGGUAAUUGGAAUGAGUACAAUCUAAAUCUCUUAACGAGGAUCCAUUGGAGGGCAAGUCCGGUGCCGCCAGUAGCGGUAAUUCCAGCUCCAAUAGCGUAUAUUUAAGUUGUUUCAGUUAAAAAGCUCGAGUUGGACUUUGGGGCGGGAUUGGUCGGUCGGUCCGCCUCGUGGUGUGCACCGAUCGUCCCAUCCCUUCUGUCGGCGAUCGUGCCUCGGCCUUAACUGGUCGAAGUGUGGUGCCUGGCGCCGUUACUUUGAAGAAAUUAGAGUGCUCAAAAGCAAGCCCACGCCUGGAUACAUUAGCAUGGGAUAACAUCACAGGAUUUCGGUCCUAUUGUGUUGGCCGGGAUCGGAGUAAUGAUUAAGAGGGGACGGGGGGGCAUUCAGAUUUCAUAGUCGAGGUGAAAUUCUUGGAUUUAUGAAAUACUGAACCAUCGCGAAAGCAUUUGCCAAAGAUGUUUUCAUUAAUCAAGAACGAAAGUUGGGGGCUCAAGGCGAUCGGACCGCCCCUAGUCUCAACCAUAAACUAUGCCGACCAGGGAUCGGCGGAUGUUCCUCUUAGGACUCCGCCGGCACCUUAUGAGAAAUCAAAGUCUUUGGGUUCCGGGGGGAGUAUGGUCGCAUGGCUGAAACUUAAAGGAAUUGACGGAAGGGCACCACCAGGAGUGGAGCCUGCGGCUUAAUUUGACUCAACACGGGGAAACUUACCAGUUUUGGCUGCCGCUCGCUGUCCGCUGUCCGCCGCUCGCCACUCGCUCGCUCAACGAAGUGGAGUCUGGGCCGUUUUGGCCAGUUCUUGCGUGCCGCGGCGAACGACAUGAGCGGAGCAAAACGUCAGCCAUCUCAUCACCCUGGAACUCCCCGGGUGGCACAGGGCUGGAUGGGGCAUUCGUAUAGCAGGGACGGUGCUGCCACUCGCUUCGCUCGCUGUCCUCCGCUCGCCGCUCGCUCGCUCAGCCAAAAAUGGCCAGUUUUUGGGCAGUACUUGCGUGCCGCGGCGAACGACGUGAGCGGAGCAAAACGUCAGCCAUCUCAGCACCCUGGAACCCCCCGGGUGGCACAGGGCUGG